rnacentral:lncRNA from 1 species
AUUGGUGUUUGGUAUUGGUGUCUGGUACUCUGGUGUACUGUUUUACUAACUACUGGUAUGUUGUUUUACAAACUACUGGUGUACUCUUUUACUAACUACUGGUGUCUGGCGCUGGCGUAGUGGCGUCUGCCCUCUGGCGCUGACGUCCGCCGCCACGGCCACACCAGCAGUCAUUACAAAAAUAUAUAAUAUUAUGGUAAUAUACAUUAAACAUUUUGUCAUGAACCCAUGGACGAUUGAUUGAUUGAAGUCAUUGAACUGGGCAUGGAGGCGGUAGCUGUAGCCGACGGUGGCAUGGUGCACUGCAAUUCGACAAAUAAAUGUGUACAACGAAAAUACCCGACAUUUUGUAACUGUAAGUUACACCUAUCCCCAUAACAAUUCAUAUUUGAUGUUGGUGGAUUGAAGAUCAGAAUACAGCGGCUUUUAAAUAUUACACUAGAAGCUCUAUAUAAUCAAAAGUAAAACAAUUAUUUAAAAAUACAAUGGCAAUCAAAAUGGAAAAAAAAUUAAGAAAGUUAUUACUGAAGGAGAAUACACUAAUGGAUGAAGUUCUUCUUUUACGUUAUAGAAUAUUAUAUUAUAUGAACUUGUGUUUGUAUACAACACUAUGUUAUCAACGCAUAGUAUAGAAGCGACACUCGAUUAAGCUAUCAAGUUCUUGUUUACCUGUGAUAGCUUUUACCAAUACCAUUAAUUAUUGGGAUCAAGCUUGUUAUAGGAUGUGGUAAAAAAUUAAUCAUUUAGAAUGUUUAUUCAUUUUAUUAAAAAAUAAUUUUUUUAUUCAUAAUCAUACUUAUAACUCAAUAAUAUUAAUUUCACAAACAUAAUGUAUAAAAUUGUAUUGUAAAGACAAAUAUUAUAUAGUUAUUCCAAAAGUAAGGUUAUUGUAAAACGGCAUUCAAUAGCUAAACAAUUUAAUAUUCUAUUAAUCUUUAAGGUAUUAUUAUCAUAAUAAACUUAAGUUAGGUUAACUUGGGCUUAUCAUAAUAAUAGUACUUUAAAGCUCAGUUGAAAAUUAAAUUAUUAUCUGUAUUCAAACAAAAGUUAAGUUAAUUUACUUAAAUAUAUAAAAAAUAUACAUAAUAUUAAUAAGAUAGUUUUUGUUAUAUUUCAUAGCAUGACCCAUUUUAAAAUCUUUUCACUGUUCAUCAUAAGUUUUAACAUGUAUAAUAUAAUGCAAAAUAGACAUUAAAAACAAUUCAAGUCUUUAUGUGCUGUAAUAUUAUCUGCUCAAUUUUAAUUUAUAAAUACUAACUUUAAUCUGAAUUAUGUUUAGUAUUGUUUACUAUAUACAAUAGAUGUACAAACUGACAAGUAGAAAUAUUUAUAUAUAUAAAGAACAUUUUAAUAAUCUAUAUGAUAUUUUCUUUACAUCUCACUAUGACUAUAUCUAUAAACUAUUAAAUAUAUUACUUUAGAAAAAAAUCCAUAUCAGGGAUACCUACUACAACUAUAUGUCUAUACAGUAUUAAUUGUAAUAUCUAAGUGUUUAUACAUAAACAAAAUGUUGAAAAAGACAUUAAUUACAUUUUCUGGCUUAUUACAGAUAAUUAUUAAAUUUGUAUACCGUUGUAUUUUACAAUUUAAUUAUCGUUUAGUUGCGUAUAGGUACAUACAUUUUGUAUGGGGAGGAUCAGAAAAAUAAUUUAAACCUAGGUACCUCCACAUUAAAUGAAAAAAUAGGUAAUAUAUUAGAAUAAGGUACACUGGCAUGUCUAUAAAUAUUUAAAUUUGAGUUAAAAUAAUUUAAGUACAAACUUAGUAUUAUAUUAGGUAUGCUAUGUUAAUAAUAUUAUAUUAGAUUAUUACAUGGAAAAUAUAAAUACUCAAUUUUUUUUGUAAUAACUAAAGUAUGUACAAUAUAAUAAUAUAAUUUAAUAUGUGUCUGCUGAACAUUUUUUUGGUCUCCUACCUAGUUUUUAAACUGAAUUAGAAUUAAACUGUUAUAGUACACAAUUUAUUUAUUUUUUUUUUAUGUUUCCUUAUAAUAGGGAAAUAAUAAUAUUAUAAUUUCUUUCUAAUAGGACACUAUUUUAUAAAAUGUAAAAAAAAAAGCCUAAAAAGGUGUACUCAGCUGUAUGGUAGUUGUCGAGGAUGUUGUAAUGGAUAUGUUAUAUUUGAAUUCAAUGAUUAAUUAUUGUAUACAAAAAACGAUUCUGAGCAGAGACGUUCUGUCAGCCUAGCAUACUUGUAUAAAUAAUCAUAUUUAAUAAUUAAAAUGAAUACGAAUCCGUAUAAUAUCGGAAAAAAAAAAAAAAAA